rnacentral:rRNA from 1 species
UGCGUAGGCGGACUAAUAAGUCAGUGGUGAAAUCUUUCGGCUCAACCGAGAAACUGCCAUUGAUACUGUUAGUCUUGAGUUCGGUUGAGGUAGGCGGAAUGUGUAAUGUAGCGGUGAAAUGCUUAGAUAUUACACAGAACACCAAUCGCGUAGGCAGCUUACUAGACCGACACUGACGCUGAGGCACGAAAGCGUGGGGAGCGAACAGGAUUAGAUACCCUGGUAGUCC